rnacentral:tRNA from 1 species
GCCUGCUUUGCAAGCAGGAUGUCAGCGGUUCGAGUCCGCUAACCUCCACUGUCGAGAUUAAUGUCUGAUAG